rnacentral:rRNA from 1 species
UACAGAGGUCCCGAGCGUUGUUCGGAUUCAUUGGGCGUAAAGGGUGCGUAGGCGGUCUUCUAAGUUUGAUGUGAAAUCCCGGGGCUCAACCCUGGAAUUGCAUUGAAUACUGGAGGACUAGGGUACCGGAGAGGAAACUGGAAUUUACGGUGUAGCAGUGAAAUGCAUUGAGAUCGGAAAGAACACCAACGGCGAAAGCACUCUGCUGGGCCGACACUGACACUGAGAGACGAAAGCAUGGGGAGCAAACAGG